rnacentral:rRNA from 1 species
UCUGGUUCAGGAUGAACGCUAGCUACAGGCUUAACACAUGCAAGUCGAGGGGCAGCAUGGUCUUAGCUUGCUAAGAUUGAUGGCGACCGGCGCACGGGUGAGUAACGCGUAUCCAACCUUCCCUAUAGUAGGGGAUAGCCCGUAGAAAUGCGGAUUAAUACCCUAUGUUGUAUUUAGAUGACAUCUGACGAAUACCAAAGGUUCACCGCUAUAGGAUGGGGAUGCGUCUGAUUAGGUAGUCGGCGGGGUAACGGCCCACCGAGCCAACGAUCAGUAGGGGUUCUGAGAGGAAGGUCCCCCACAUUGGAACUGAGACACGGUCCAAACUCCUACGGGAGGCAGCAGUGAGGAAUAUUGGUCAAUGGGCGAGAGCCUGAACCAGCCAAGUAAGCGUGCAGGAUGACGGCCCUAUGGGUUGUAAACUGCUUUUAUAGGGGAAUAAAGUGAGGUACGUGUACCUUUUUGUAUGUACCCUAUGAAUAAGGACCGGCUAAUUCCGUGCCAGCCGCGGC